rnacentral:misc_RNA from 1 species
GAUGAAGAACGUAGCGAAAUGCGAUAAGUAAUGUGAAUUGCAGAAUUCAGUGAAUCAUCGAAUCUUUGAACGCACAUUGCGUCCGCCAGUAUUCUGGCGGGCAUGCCUGUUCGAGCGUCAUUUCAACCCUCAAGACCCCUUCGGGGGACUUGGUGUUGGGGACCGGCACAGGGGCCUGCCUGCUUGUCUUGCAGCGCCCUCGCCGCCCCCGAAAUGAAUUGGCGGCCUCGUCGCGGCCUCCCCUGCGUAGUAGCACAAACCUCGCAACGUGAACGUGACGGCGGCCACUGCCGUAAAACAACCCAAUUUUAUUAGAGUUGACCUCGAAUCAGGUAGGAAUACCCGCUGAACUUAAGCAUAUCAAUAAGCGGAGGA